CCUACGGGAGGCAGCAGUAGGGAAUCUUUCACAAUGGGCGAAAGCCUGAUGGAGCAACGCCGCGUGCAGGAUGAAGGCCUUCGGGUUGUAAACUUCUUUUAUAAGCGAGAAAUAUGAUGGUAACUUAUGAAUAAGGAUCGGCUAACUACGUGCCAGCAGCCGCGGUCAUACGUAGGAUCCGAGCAUUAUCCGGAGUGACUGGGUGUAAAGAGUUGCGUAGGUGGCAUAAUAAGUAGCUAGGGAAAUCUGGUGGCUCAACCAUUCAGACUAUUAGCUAAAAUGUUAAGCUCGAGACCGUUAGGGGUAACUGGAAUUUCUAGUGUAGGAGUGAAAUCCGUAGAUAUUAGAAGGAACACCAAUAGCGUAGGCAGGUUGCUGGGACGGUUCUGACACUAAGGCACGAAAGCGUAGGGAGCAAACGGGAUUAGAUACCCCUGUAGUC
rnacentral:rRNA from 1 species